rnacentral:rRNA from 1 species
AACGAACGCUGGCGGCAGGCUUAACACAUGCAAGUCGAGCGCCCCGCCAGGGGAGCGGCAGACGGGUGAGUAACGCGUGGGAACGUACCUUUUGGUUCGGAACAACUCCGGGAAACUGGAGCUAAUACCGGAUAAGCCCUAACGGGGAAAGAUUUAUCGCCGAAAGAUCGGCCCGCGUCUGAUUAGCUAGUUGGUGAGGUAACGGCUCACCAAGGCGACGAUCAGUAGCUGGUCUGAGAGGAUGAUCAGCCACACUGGGACUGAGACACGGCCCAGACUCCUACGGGAGGCAGCAGUGGGGAAUAUUGGACAAUGGGCGCAAGCCUGAUCCAGCCAUGCCGCGUGAGUGAUGAAGGCCUUAGGGUUGUAAAGCUCUUUUGUCCGGGAGGAUAAUGACUGUACCGGAAGAAUAAGCCCCGGCUAACUUCGUG